GGGAUAAGCCUGGGAAACUGGGUCUAAUACCGGAUAUGACUCCUCAUCGCAUGGUGGGGGGUGGAAAGCUUUAUUGUGGUUUUGGAUGGACUCGCGGCCUAUCAGCUUGUUGGUGAGGUAAUGGCUCACCAAGGCGACGACGGGUAGCCGGCCUGAGAGGGUGACCGGCCACACUGGGACUGAGACACGGCCCAGACUCCUACGGGAGGCAGCAGUGGGGAAUAUUGCACAAUGGGCGAAAGCCUGAUGCAGCGACGCCGCGUGAGGGAUGACGGCCUUCGGGUUGUAAACCUCUUUCAGUAGGGAAGAAGCGAAAGUGACGGUACCUGCAGAAGAAGCGCCGGCUAACUACGUGCCAGCAGCCGCGGUAAUACGUAGGGCGCAAGCGUUAUCCGGAAUUAUUGGGCGUAAAGAGCUCGUAGGCGGUUUGUCGCGUCUGCCGUGAAAGUCCGGGGCUCAACUCCGGAUCUGCGGUGGGUACGGGCAGACUAGAGUGAUGUAGGGGAGACUGGAAUUCCUGGUGUAGCGGUGAAAUGCGCAGAUAUCAGGAGGAACACCGAUGGCGAAGGCAGGUCUCUGGGCAUUAACUGACGCUGAGGAGCGAAAGCAUGGGGAGCGAACAGGAUUAGAUACCCUGGUAGUCCAUGCCGUAAACGUUGGGCACUAGGUGUGGGGGACAUUCCACGUUUUCCGCGCCGUAGCUAACGCAUUAAGUGCCCCGCCUGGGGAGUACGGCCGCAAGGCUAAAACUCAAAGGAAUUGACGGGGGCCCGCACAAGCGGCGGAGCAUGCGGAUUAAUUCGAUGCAACGCGAAGAACCUUACCAAGGCUUGACAUGAACCGGAAACACCUGGAAACAGGUGCCCCGCUUGCGGUCGGUUUACAGGUGGUGCAUGGUUGUCGUCAGCUCGUGUCGUGAGAUGUUGGGUUAAGUCCCGCAACGAGCGCAACCCUCGUUCUAUGUUGCCAGCGCGUUAUGGCGGGGACUCAUAGGAGACUGCCGGGGUCAACUCGGAGGAAGGUGGGGACGACGUCAAAUCAUCAUGCCCCUUAUGUCUUGGGCUUCACGCAUGCUACAAUGGCCGGUACAAGGGUUGCGAUACUGUGAGGUGGAGCUAAUCCCAAAAAGCCGGUCUCAGUUCGGAUUGGGGUCUGCAACUCGACCCCAUGAAGUCGGAGUCGCUAGUAAUCGCAGAUCAGCAACGCUGCGGUGAAUACGUUCCCGGGCCUUGUACACACCGCCCGUCAAGUCACGAAAGUUGGUAACACCCGAAGCCGGUGGCCUAACCCCUUGUGGGAGGGAGCUGUCGAAGGUGGGACUGGCGAUUGGGACUAAGUCGGAACAAGGUA
rnacentral:rRNA from 1 species